AAAUAUCGAGUCAUAACAUACUUUUCGUAAAAUAAAGAAAAUGUCGGUGGUGUGAAACAAGAUCGUCUCUUUUCGCUUGUUUGAAAAUUAUCUGGCCAUAGUCUCAUAACAAGGGCAGUCCUAUUCCUGUGCUUUUUUUUAACACAAGAAGGUAGAUAUGUCAACUCCAGCCCGACGAAGACUAAUGCGAGACUUUAAAAGACUGCAAGAUGAUCCACCUGCAGGUGUAAGUGGCGCUCCCACAGAAAAUAACAUCAUGCAAUGGAAUGCAGUUAUAUUUGGACCUGAUGACACACCAUUUGAAGGAGGCACAUUUCGCUUAAUAAUGGAAUUCACCGAAGAAUAUCCGAACAAGCCACCAAUCGUAAAAUUUUUAUCAAAAAUGUUUCAUCCAAAUGUUUACGCUGAUGGCGGUAUUUGCCUGGAUAUUUUACAGAACCGGUGGAGUCCGACAUAUGAUGUCUCUUCCAUCCUCACAUCGAUACAGUCAUUACUCGAUGAACCAAACCCAAAUAGUCCUGCAAACAGUUUAGCAGCACAGCUAUAUCAAGAAAAUAAACGAGAAUACGAAAAGAAGGUACAGGCUAUCGUGGAGCAAAGUUGGCAGAGUGCUUAGGCUUAGUUGUAAUGAACAAGUAUAAUAUAAAAGAAUGUAUCGCUUGCUGUGCCAACUGUAGCUGCUAUUUUGUUCUGCUCUGCAUAUGGUAUUAUUCGUAUCCCCACAGUUUUGAUGGCGCCGUGGAAUAAACUAGAUCUGUAUUCAACAAUUUGCAUUGACUUGCUUUCAUAAAAGCUACCCUUUACUGGAGAAUUGUUCACGUCCUCACAGUAGUAUAUUUUUUUGUUGUUGUGUUAAUCCUAUUAAAAGAAAUUUUGUAUAUAAUUGUUUGUGGCAAAAAAAUAACAACUUAAGUGAACUUUCUGGGUAAUCCGGCGUUGAGCGGUUAACCCGCUUAGUAUAGGUAUAUUUCACGCCGCACAUCUGUUAAAGUAUUUUUAAAA